UUCUUCUUCUUCUUUCUCUUCUUUUCUUUCUUUCGUUUUUUCUUCACUUUGUGUUGAUCAGUGUCAAAUGGGGAACUUUCCGAAAACCAGUGAGUAGGACAGGAAAUCUCAGCCGCCGAAU
rnacentral:ribozyme from 13 species